AUUCUUUAGUUAACUUAUUUUCUUUACCUAUUCUUUUAUUCAAUAUGCUUUUCUUCUUGAAAGAUCUCUGUCACUCGAGUGUCCGACUGUGUAAAUAUGUAUUGGACACAUAUUUCAUGUCGUGUCCUGUGUCGUGUCGACACGGGUAAGGCAGGGAAAAAUGAAGAGUUGGAGUUAUGUCACUUGAACUCAGGUAUGGGUGUCGGAAAUUGGUACAUAUCCGUGUAUCAGACUUAUGAACUUUGGAUAUGGAUCUAAAUUUAGACACGGGUGCUCGGACACGUUAUGUAGGCCGAAAGGGUUGAAAUAAUCUAUCCAAAAGGGGUAAGCCACAAUUAAAAUUGAGAUAUACAACCAUUGGAUUCUCGAAAUAUU
rnacentral:misc_RNA from 1 species